GAAUCUAGCGGGAGACAACAGUGGGGGAAUAUUGGACAAUGGGCGCAAGCCUGAUCCAGCAAUACCGCGUGUGUGAAGAAGGCCUGAGGGUUGUAAAGCACUUUCAAUAUGGAGGAACACCUGCAGGCUAUCUAUCCUGCAUCUAUGACAUUACCUAUCUCAAAAGCACCGGUCAAACUCCGUGCCAGCAGCCGCGGUAAU
rnacentral:rRNA from 1 species